rnacentral:ncRNA from 2 species
AAUUUUAACAAAAUCGAUGGUUUCGUGCAAACGGAUUAAAAGGGAACGCUGUGAUAUCCAUGCGCUGGUUGGCACCAGUAAUGGAUUAAGUCAGAGACUGUGCCCGCAACUGUAGGCAGAGAUUUUUUCGGAUAUGUGUUUUAUUGUAAACAUAAAACAGUCACUGGUGCUGGCGUACCGGGAAGGCAGCCGAAAAAGAUAGAUCUGCAAGUCAGGAGACCUGCCAUCGUUGUUUCACCAUG